AACGAACGCUGGCGGCAGGCCUAACACAUGCAAGUCGAACGCAUCGCAAGAUGAGUGGCGCACGGGUGAGUAACACGUGGGAAUGUGCCCUUUGGUUCGGAAUAACGUCUGGAAACGGACGCUAAUACCGGAUGUCCCCUGCGGGGGAAAGAUUUAUCGCCAAAGGAGCAGCCCGCGUCUGAUUAGGUAGUUGGUGGGGUAAAGGCCUACCAAGCCGACGAUCAGUAGCUGGUCUGAGAGGAUGAUCAGCCACACUGGGACUGAGACACGGCCCAGACUCCUACGGGAGGCAGCAGUGGGGAAUAUUGGACAAUGGGCGCAAGCCUGAUCCAGCCAUGCCGCGUGAGUGAUGAAGGCCUUCGGGUUGUAAAGCUCUUUCGCACACGACGAUGAUGACGGUAGUGUGAGAGGAAGCCCCGGCUAACUUCGUGCCAGCCGCCGCAGUAAGAC
rnacentral:rRNA from 1 species